rnacentral:rRNA from 1 species
AUUGAACGCUGGCGGCAGGCCUAACACAUGCAAGUCGAGCGAGCGGCGGACGGGUGAGUAAUGUCUGGGGAUCUGCCCGAUAGAGGGGGAUAACUCCUGGAAACGGUGGCUAAUACCGCAUACCAUCGGAUUACCCCAUCUGGGAUUAGCUAGUUGGUGGGGUAACGGCUCACCUAGGCGACGAUCCCUAGCUGGUAUGAGAGGAUGAACAGCCACACUGGGACUGAGACACGGCCCAAACUCCUACGGGGGGCAGCAGUGGGGAAUAUUGCACAAUGGGCGCAAGCCGGAUGCAGCAAUGCCGCGUGUAUGAAGAAGGCCUUAGGGUUGUAAAGUACUUUCGGCGGGGAGGCGUUACCCGCAGAAGAAGCACCGGCUAACUCCGUGCCAGCAGCCGCGGUAAUAC